GUCUCUUUUUUUUUAUGUUUUUAUUUACAUAUUUUAUUUCUAGAGAGCUGUCCCUCCCACAAUGACCAGACGAUGGAAGUUUGUUUGCAUUCCCCGCCUCCCCACUACUACUACGGCUCUACGAGUAGUAGUCAUACCUUAUUAUUGGAGUAGCAUAGUUUGACGAAGUAUUGCAGUCGGUAAUUUUGCUGCGACUCCUGAGAGAGAUUCACCAAAAUCUUUUGUAUCUGCUUCUGCUUUUGCUUUGCUCUCAAGUCUUCAAGAGAAGAGCUCUGCAUAACUUGGGAUUAUUAUCGGCGGCCUGCUACAUUUG